CUUCCUUCAAGAAUGCACCACUGGAGUGACAAGAUUGUCCGGGCUCUGUUUCCCUGUGAGAAGCCGCCUCGGCCCACCGAGAUGUCCCGGCACCAUAGCCGCUUCGAAAGAGAUUACCGGGUGGGCUGGGACCGCCGCGAGUGGAGCGUCAACGGGACGCAUGGGACCACCAGCAUCUGCAGUGUCACCUCGGGGGCCGGUGGCGGCACAGCCAGCAGCCUCAGCGCCCGGCCCGGCCUCCUGCCGCUGCCCGUGGUGCCCUCCCGGCUGCCCACCCCUGCUACAGCUCCUGCUCCCUGCACCACCGGCAGCAGCGAGGCCAUCACCAGCCUCGUGGCCAGCUCUGCGUCUGCGGUCACCACCAAGGCUCCCGGCAUCUCUAAAGGGGACAGUCAGUCCCAGGGACUGGCGACCAGCAUCCGGUGGGGGCAGACGCCUAUCAAUCAGUCCACACCCUGGGACACUGAUGAGCCACCCUCCAAACAGAUGAGAGAGAGUGACAAUCCAGGCACAGGGCCAUGGGUGACCACGGUGGCCGCCGGGAACCAGCCCACCCUGAUCGCACACUCCUAUGGAGUGGCCCAGCCUCCCACCUUCAGCCCGGCUGUGAACGUCCAGGCCCCGGUCAUUGGGGUGACCCCCUCACUGCCUCCCCACGUGGGGCCCCAGCUCCCGCUGAUGCCAGGCCACUACUCGCUCCCUCAGCCGCCCUCUCAGCCACUGAGCAGCGUGGUGGUCAACAUGCCUGCCCAGGCCCUGUAUGCCAGCCCUCAGCCCCUGGCCGUGUCCACACUGCCCGGUGUGGGGCAGGUGGCCCGCCCAGGACCCACCGCUGUGGGCAACGGCCACAUGGCAGGGCCCCUGCUGCCUCCACCACCGCCAGCCCAGCCGUCCGCCACUCUCCCCAGUGGUGCCCCUGCCACCAAUGGGCCCCCCACAACCGACUCGGCCCACGGGCUGCAGAUGCUGCGGACCAUUGGCGUGGGGAAGUAUGAGUUCACCGACCCGGGGCACCCCAGAGGUAAGUCCUGCUGCCACGUGCCUCCCCAUGGGCCUGCGUCUGCACCUCCCUGCGCGGUCACUGCAACACCACCGGGACAGGGGGUGCUUCAUGCCAGCUCCUUCACUGGCCUCCCCAACCCAGAGGCUGCAGUGGAGCCUCCACCUGCCCAAGACAACUGGCCUGAGAUGGGGGAGGGAGGGGGAAGGUGUGGAGGGCGGGACAAGCAAAGUGGGGAAAUGCGCCGGGGUAAGAAGAGGAAGGAAGGGAGAGCCUGCAAAGCCCAGAGCCCGUCCCCCUCCAGCCCAAGCCCUGGCCAUUCUCACCUCCAACCCCCAAGGCCAGGCCAAGCUGCAAAAGGGUGAGAGUCAUCCACUCCUCUUAGGGCACCACAGAACAGUCCCUUUGGGGGCCUUCUCCACAUUCCAUCCAUGAGGACAUUCAGAGCAUGUACUGUGUCCUUCCCAGGGAAGGCACUCUCUGUCGUGCCAUCGGAUGAGAGCACUGCCCAAGGCAAUUUAGUUAGGCCCAGGAGACAUUCCUAGACCAUCUUGAGGCACUUGAAUGUUUCAUUUCAAGGAUCCAGGGGUGGCUUUGUGAGACCUUGGGAAAGAGCACCUCCAGCCUCAGCCUUCAGUUAACCCUCUUCCCCCAGCCUCAGGGGAGUUUCAUUCCAGGGAACUCGAAGGUAGAUCCUUCAGAACAGAGCCUCGGGAAGGAUGCAUGCUAGACAUGGUCCUAGUUGGAGCCCCCGGUCUUAGGGUUAGGGUUCUUGAUGUCUGUCUGAGGGAUCAGUCCAGACUGGAAGGCAGAAGGGGACAGGAGGACCAGGGCACACAUAUGAGGCUUGCUGGAUUCCUCUGCUAUAGGUUUGCCUAGCCCUUAGUGCCCCAGACAAGCCAAGUCCCUGCUCCUGCUGGAUGCAGUGGGAAAGGCUGCUGGGCCACUGCCAGGUACAGGCAGUGGGGGCAUAAGGGUCCACGGCAAACAGUCUGCCCCAACGGGGUAUCUACAUCUCUUUUGAAAGAGGACACUAGACGGUCCCAGAAAGUAUGCAUCUCUGGGCACAACUUCCCAGCCUUCCCACAUAAAACCCCUUGAGAUGGCAUUUCAGGGUGCUCUGCCGCACUAGCCACUCUCCUGUCUUCUCUCCCAAGUCUCUUCCUUUGUCAUUUCAAGCAAUUUUCAUGCCUUGUCAAGCAUCCCAACAAUAAAGCUCAUGUCUGGAUCUCUGUUGGGUUUAAUUCCCAAUCUGACUGAGCCCUGACUGCCUUUGUUUUGGAAAUCAGCACUAGUUUUAAAUGACAAAAUUGUAGAAAAUUACAUCUAAAUUCUGGUAAACUCUUGCUUUAAGAUCUUUUUUUAAAAAAUGACUAAAUUGAUUUUUUCUUUGCAUUGUUUUGGUUAAGCUCUGUCUCCCUUUAAAAAAAAAAAA
rnacentral:sRNA from 1 species